AAUUCUCCGUGAAGAUGCGGAGUACCCGCGGUUAGACGGAAAGACCCCGUGCACCUUUACUGCAGCUUUAGAGUGGCAUUAGGAAAGAACUGUGUAGAAUAGGUGGGAGGCUUUGAAACUUGGGCGCCAGUCCGAGUGGAGCCAACCUGUGAAAUACCACCCUGUUGUUUUCUGAUGUCUAACCUAGGUCCGUUAUCCGGACCAGGGACCCUCUAUGGCGGGUAGUUUGACUGGGGCGGGCGCCUCCUAAAAGGUAACGGGGGCGUGCAAAGGUUCCCUCC
rnacentral:rRNA from 1 species